rnacentral:rRNA from 1 species
GGAUGACGGGAGCUUGCUCCUUGAUUCAGCGGCGGACGGGUGAGUAAUGCCUAGGAAUCUGCCUGGUAGUGGGGGACAACGUUUCGAAAGGAACGCUAAUACCGCAUACGUCCUACGGGAGAAAGCAGGGGACCUUCGGGCCUUGCGCUAUCAGAUGAGCCUAGGUCGGAUUAGCUAGUUGGUGGGGUAAUGGCUCACCAAGGCGACGAUCCGUAACUGGUCUGAGAGGAUGAUCAGUCACACUGGAACUGAGACACGGUCCAGACUCCUACGGGAGGCAGCAGUGGGGAAUAUUGGACAAUGGGCGAAAGCCUGAUCCAGCCAUGCCGCGUGUGUGAAGAAGGUCUUCGGAUUGUAAAGCACUUUAAGUUGGGAGGAAGGGCAGUAAGCUAAUACCUUGCUGUUUUGACGUUACCGACAGAAUAAGCACCGGCUAACUCUGUGCCAGCAGCCGCGGUAAUACAGAGGGUGCAAGCGUUAAUCGGAAUUACUGGGCGUAAAGCGCGCGUAGGUGGUUUGUUAAGUUGGAUGUGAAAGCCCCGGGCUCAACCUGGGAACUGCAUCCAAAACUGGCAAGCUAGAGUACGGUAGAGGGUGGUGGAAUUUCCUGUGUAGCGGUGAAAUGCGUAGAUAUAGGAAGGAACACCAGUGGCGAAGGCGACCACCUGGACUGAUACUGACACUGAGGUGCGAAAGCGUGGGGAGAAAACAAGAUUAGGUACCCUG